CCAACCGUCGCAACGAGAGGCGAGAUGCCGAAGGUAUGGAUGGUGAUUGGGAGUG
rnacentral:rRNA from 1 species